AAGGGUGGGGGAGGGGGGCUAGAUAUGGCCCCUUAGCCCAGAAACUGGGAUUCUUCUCCCUUGGAAGAGGCUGGGACAGUCUCGGUAGGCUUUAAUUCUUUGUUUCAGGGUAAAUUCUUCUCUUCUUGCCCCCUGGAAACAGAUGCCCCCCACACCUGGGCUGAGACUGGGCAGGUGCUCUCAGAGGCAGAGAUGGAUUGCUGGUACUCUGCUUUGGGUGAGGACCCCGUGCCCCCAGCUGGCCCCUGCACCAGAAAAACACCAGGUCCCCCUUCCCAGUGCAAGACUCAAAUUGAAUCUGCACACCUAGCAUUAAGUGGGGGUAAAAGGGCAACAGAUAAGUGGGUCUAGUCUACAGCAUGGGAGAGUGAGCCAGAAUAAGAUGGUUGUAAAUUGUGGGGAGAGAAUUUCUUUUUAAAUUGGCGAGUGAGAAAGAGGGAGAAAAUCUUUCUAAAUGGGGAAGAGAGAGAAUAUAGCUAACUGGGGGGAGGAAUGCAAAGAGUCUCCCUGCUUGAGGGAAAAGCAAAGCAAAGACCUAACCCCUCAAAAGAGACAGGAAAAUGAUGCCUUGAGAGCCAGAGAGGAUGGCGAGAGAGGAAGAGAAUUCCUUAGAAGAUAAAACAUACGGACAGAAGAUCUCUUAACCCAAGAGCGAACCCCCCAUUCCCAGGACAGGAAGACUGUUUUGCAGUGCUGGGGAUUAGAACCUGGGUAUCAAUUUGCUAAGCAAGUGCUCUACCACUAUGCUACAUCUCCAGGCCUGAAGGAGAACUGGAAAUAAGUGAGGAGGGGGAGAAGAAAAGAAUGUUCUAGGCAGAGUGGACCACCAUGAGCAAAGGUGCAUUGGCAAAAAAAUGGCAGGAUACACCUGGGGAUAUCAAGCAAGUUGGGAUCAAGGAUGCAGGAGCUGGGGCUUCUGUCACUAUCUCACUACCGUGGGGAUUCUGAGACCAAAGCCAACACAGCAGAAGGCAGCACGAUGGAGCAAAAUGAGUUCCAGUGACAUCAUAUGAGCCCCAAAUCCAGCCAAGACGGAGCCAGCCCUAGCCCCUGGCCUUUUGGAUUUCAUGAGCCAAUAAAUUCCUUUUUGUUUAAGCCA